rnacentral:misc_RNA from 1 species
AUUAAAAAUUAAAUUAAAAUAAUAAAAUAAAUUUACUUUAAUAUAUCUCAACCGUUUGAUUAUUUAAUUCGAUUCGAUACCCAAAGCCUAAGCAGAGAAGAUGAAGGCCCUUCGAAUCCUAACUUCCUUUGUGGGCAAGUAAACCUCAAAUAAAAAGACCCCAUUACUUUUUAGUGCCAAGCCUUACUAAUCUUUAAUUGCCACCUUUUACUGACGCUAUAAAAGUCUCAUCACCAUUUUCACUUUGAACUGCUUGACACUGUGAGCUCCUCUACCGAGUGUGGCCUCGGUACAAACAAAGAAUUUAUAGCCCAGCAGGGUCUCAUCUUUAGCAACCAUGACUGAAUCAAGAUUCUCUUUUGGUCCAUUACCGUCAUCAUCUUCGCCUUGUAAGUACCAAUUUGCCUCUCUCUCAUAAAAUGUACCUCUAGGCUCUAGCAUAAAUAGGGACAGAUUGCAAGAUUCAGCUAAAGAGGAAUGAUUUGAUGAACAGGGUAGCUGUUCAUUUCUCUCUUAGAGCUGUUUUCCUAGUCAAUGAAGUCUUGCACUUUUGUGCUUUUCUUUUCUUUUUAAAGUGAUUUGAUGGAAAUUUCUGAUUUAUUUAAUGCUAAUUAACAAGAAAUCAAUAGACACGUUCAAUUCAGUUUCAUUUACAGCAACAAAUGGCAGAAAAGUGUAUACGCGUUGGAGAAUUCGACGACAACGUUUUUCCACUGCAAGAGGCUUCUCAUCCACUGACCAAUCCAACACUAAUUCCUAUGAGAUAAAUGCAGAAUCAGGCCAUGGUGAGCUCGUGUAUAUACCUUGCUUUAUAAUGAGUACUUACUAAUUAAAGCAUUGUUAUUUGUCUUAUUUUGUAACGUGAAGGUGCGGAGAGAACAGAUGAAAUAGUGAGUAAUCUGCAAACAAGUACUAUGGAAGCAGAGAUUGCAGGGAAAGAGAGCAAUAAUACUGCUGAAGAGGGUGCUUUGGCUCCGUCUUAUAUCAAACAGGAGGAAGAAUCAAGAGAAGCAAAUCAAGAACCUGCCAUAACUUCAUCAUUAGUGGUGAUUUCUAGAAUUUUAAAGGGUAUACCUCAAAACCCUCACUUUUAUCAGCUUAGAAAUCACUCCGAACUUGCAAGAAAGAGCAUGAUAUGUUCAUGGGACAAGAUUUUCGAAGAAACUGUAGAACAAAUUCGCUCUCUACAAGCAAAUGGUUUCUGGGUCAGAGCCAGGGAGCUGUGGAAAACCAUGGAGGAGUUGCAGACCAUGGGGUAUAAUGUGAUUCCUUUAAGGAGAAGAUUAAUAGAGUUAAGCAAUGUAAUGACAGAGCUAAAGUUGUCUAAAUCAGAUAUUAAAGGGUUAAAGAUCAAUGCUGAGAAUCACAGAGCAGAGAAAAGCAGGCUUGAAUUUGUGAUUUUGAGCUGGCAAAAACUGAUCAAGCGAGAGCAAGAAGGCAUGGAGAGAGUGCUAACUCAGGUAAUAGCUAAGGAGAAAGAGUUACCAAAAUUUGAUGAAGCAUUUGCCAAGUUAGCCUUGGAGCCACUCUAGAUUGAUAUCUGCAGUUAUGAGUUGAGAGAUUUAAUUUGAUGUAUAAUGUUUUUAUAAGAUUCUAUUAACUUUAAUCAAACAUUAAUCUGCAAUUUACCCUUCUGCAUUU